CAAAAUGUGAUUGGUAACACUUCCGGAAACGGAAGUGCGUUCUCUGGAAGAAGCAGAAACACUUAUUUUUAAAUUUGUUGUUUUUUGUCAAGCAAUCAAUAAUGACGGUUGUAAGUGGUGCAGCCAGGACAGGGCGACAAAGCAGCCCUUAAUGACAUGCGAUCUCUGUCAGGGGGGGAGCACUCGUUCUCCAUCGUGUGUUUUGUGUUGUCGCCCUGGGCCAUUGACGAGGCCCCCUUACAAUGUCUGGACGAGUUUGACGUCUAAAUGGAUAUGGACAACCGGAGAAUAUCCCUCGACAUGAUGCUUAGGAUCGCUGCUAGCCAACGUUUCUGACAGUUCAUUUUCCUCACCCCUCAGAACGAGGUAUCGCCCUACUAUAAAAACAAGACCAGGUCAAAACCUAGUAUAUGGCUGGACCUAACACACGUGAUCCGGCCGACCAAUGAUGUAACUUCAUAACUCGACCGACCAAUGGUGUAACUUCAUCACUCACUCAGUCACAGACAUUUGCAUUUGUAGCUCCCUCCCACGCAGCAGCCUGAUCCGGACUCAUCGGCUGAAGGAUCCAGACCGCACCCAGACUGUGCUGCCCUUCGGCCAAGGGAACCGAGAGGAGGCGGAGGGAUGAGGUAGAGCACCCUCCCGUCCCCAGGCUCUGUUACCCAAUCAGCACCCUGACUAAGGGAAUCGUGCCAUUCUUUGGACUGGGAGAUGCAAAACCAAAAACUAAAAAAAUAAAGCUUGGAUAACGAAAGAUUGUUAAAUGGCCCACAUUUGGAAUAUUUUAGUUCUGCGGAAGGAAAUUUUCAGUUACAAAGGUAAGAUGUUUCUGAGAAGAAAUGUCCCAGUCACAAAACAUUUGAAUUCUUUUUCUAAUAACCAAUCAGAUUUAUACUUUAAUAUGUUAGCUUUGUUUUAAGCAGUUUAAAUUAUUGAGUUCAAUCAGAAACAUAUUAUAAAUGGUGGGUGACUCUUUCUAUCCAGUUCAUUUUGUCAUAUUUUAGUUCCUGGGGGAGAGGAGGAUCAUCCACUUUUGUGUGUUCUGUUUGUGUUGUAUACUAAAAUUGUAUGCUUACAUAAAGUUCGCAUAUGAAAAUUGUUUACUGUUAAAUGUGCAAUUAUUGAUUACAAGUUUGAAGUGAAGCAAGUGUUUAUUCUGUAAUAAUUAGCAGUGUAAAGCUUCCUUUUUUUACUUUUGUAUGUGGAAGACAGAUUUUUUUCUGUGUCUGAAAGUAAACAUUUGACUUUCUAAAAUAAAUAUACUUUUCUGAU